GACGCUGGGGCUGGAAUUUGACACCGGACGGCUGCGGCGGCGGGCAGGAGGCUGCUGAGGGAUGGAGUUGGGCCCGGCCCCCAGACAAGGCCCGGGGGCUCCGCCAGCAGCAGGUCCCUCGGGCCCCAGCCCUCGCUGCCACCCGGGCCUGGAGCCCCACACCCGAGGGUGCAGACUGGCUGCCAAGGCCACACUUUUGGCUAAAAGAGGCACUGCCAGGUGUACAGUCCUGGGCAUGCGCUGUUUGAGCUUCGGGGGAGAGCCCAGCACUGGUCCCCGGAAAGGUGCCUAGAAGAACAAGGUGCAGGACCCCGUGAGAUGGAACUUGGACUUGGAGGCCUCUCCACGCUGUCCCACUGCCCCUGGCCUAGGCAGCAGCCUGCCCUGUGGCCCACCCUGGCCGCUCUGGCUCUGCUGAGCAGCGUCGCAGAGGCCUCCCUGGGCUCCGCGCCCCGCAGCCCUGCCCCCCGCGAAGGCCCCCCGCCUGUCCUGGCGUCCCCCGCCGGCCACCUGCCGG
rnacentral:lncRNA from 1 species